UGGCUCAGGACGAACGCUGGCGGCGUGCCUAAUACAUGCAAGUCGAACGGUCUUUUCUAUGGAAGCUUGCUUCCACUGAGAAGAUAGUGGCGAACGGGUGAGUAACACGUGGGUAACCUGCCCAUAAGAGGGGGAUAACAUCCGGAAACGGGUGCUAAUACCGCAUAGUUUUCUUGAUCGCAUGAUCGGGAAAGGAGAGACGGCCUUUGUGCUGUCGCUUAUGGAUGGACCCGCGGCGUAUUAGUUAGUUGGUGAGGUAACGGCUCACCAAGACGAUGAUACGUAGCCGACCUGAGAGGGUGAUCGGCCACAUUGGGACUGAGACACGGCCCAAACUCCUACGGGAGGCAGCAGUAGGGAAUCUUCCGCAAUGGACGAAAGUCUGACGGAGCAACGCCGCGUGAGUGAAAGAAGGUUUUCGGAUCGUAAAACUCUGUUGUCAGAGAAGAACAAGUUGGAGAGUAACUGCUCCAGCCUUGACGGUAUCUGACCAGAAAGCCACGGCUAACUACGUGCCAGCCGCCGC
rnacentral:rRNA from 1 species